UAUGGUCAUUCUAUAUUUGCAUGAGAGUCAUACCUUUAUGAUUUUUUAAAAGCAUACUUUGAUGAAUGGUUGAAUGGAAGACUGGAAACUAGUGAGACGACCACAACGAGGACUAGAGGAGCAGAGGUGACAAACUUUAUUCACAUCACAGUUCUGCCCUGCGCUAUUCCUGGAGCUCAUCCUGAGAGAGCUGCUGGGGCAGCACCGUGAGAUUCUGACAUCCAAGAGCAGUAG
rnacentral:lncRNA from 1 species